rnacentral:misc_RNA from 1 species
GAAAUGCGAUAAGUAGUGUGAAUUGCAGAAUUCAGUGAAUCAUCGAAUCUUUGAACGCACAUUGCGCCCUUUGGUAUUCCUUAGGGCAUGCCUGUUCGAGCGUCAUCUAAACCUUCAAGCCCUGCUUGGUGUUGGGUGCCUGUCCCGCCUCCGCGCGCGGACUCACCUCAAAUCCAUUGGCGGCCCCCGCGUCGGCCACGAGCGCAGCAGAAACGCGAACUCGUGAGCCCGUCCGGGCGGCUCCCAGAAGCUACACCCACCCAGUUUGACCUCGGAUCAGGUAGGGAUACCCGCUAAACUUAAGC